UCUUUUUUCCUUUCGAUAUGUCGUCUACAAAUCGCUGUGAAGACGAAGGUGAAGGACGCGUCUCAAUUACGAACACUCAGCACAUUUUUGCAAUAAGGUUCUGAUUCCGCGAUAGAAGAUACAACCCUCGAACAGAAGAAUAGCAAAUAUUAUAAUGAAGUGAUAAAUUCAAACAAUGCUUAUCUUGAGAUAUAAUAUGAAAGUUGCACAUGGAUUUCCUAUGUAAAGUGGAUUCAUUAUCUUCUCAAAGUUAUUCCAUAUUCAAAACGUUACUUGUAAAAACUGCUGAAACUUUCCUUAUUUCGUGCGCUAGUGCAUAUUAUGCCAAAUUAUUGACAGCAGAGACGACAGAGGCCAUAGACCCCAGGACUCAGACCUUGGGCUCAAGCCCAAGAGUUGCUGGAGAAGGUCAUCGUUAAAUCCAUUUCUCAAGAAGAAGAGUGAUUCCAAAAUGACACACAAGUUAUUUUCGGUUACUAGGAAAUAAAAAAAUGUAUUAUUUACUGUUAGAAUAUGUAAACACUAAAAAAGUAUUUCUCUAAUAUAUAAGGUAAAUCCGU